rnacentral:rRNA from 1 species
AAAUUGAAGAGUUUGAUCAUGGCUCAGAUUGAACGCUGGCGGCAGGCCUAACACAUGCAAGUCGAGCGGUAGCACAGAGAGCUUGCUCUCGGGUGACGAGCGGCGGACGGGUGAGUAAUGUCUGGGAAACUGCCUGAUGGAGGGGGAUAACUACUGGAAACGGUAGCUAAUACCGCAUAAUGUCGCAAGACCAAAGUGGGGGACCUUCGGGCCUCAUGCCAUCAGAUGUGCCCAGAUGGGAUUAGCUAGUAGGUGGGGUAAUGGCUCACCUAGGCGACGAUCCCUAGCUGGUCUGAGAGGAUGACCAGCCACACUGGAACUGAGACACGGUCCAGACUCCUACGGGAGGCAGCAGUGGGGAAUAUGGCACAGUGGGGGAAAGCCUGAUGAAGCAAGGCGGCGUGGGUGAAGAAGGCCGGCGGGUUGUAAAGCACUUUCAGCGGGGAGGAAGGCGAUAAGGUUAAUAACCUUGUCGAUUGACGUUACCCGCAGAAGAAGCACCGGCUAACUCCGUGCCAGCAGCCGCGGUAAUACGGAGGGUGCAAGCGUUAAUCGGAAUUACUGGGCGUAAAGCGCACGCAGGCGGUCUGUCAAGUCGGAUGUGAAAUCCCCGGGCUUAACCUGGGAACUGCAUUCGAAACUGGCAGGCUAGAGUCUUGUAGAGGGGGGUAGAAUUCCAGGUGUAGCGGUGAAAUGCGUAGAGAUCUGGAGGAAUACCGGUGGCGAAGGCGGCCCCCUGGACAAAGACUGACGCUCAGGUGCGAAAGCGUGGGGAGCAAACAGGAUUAGAUACCCUGGUAGUCCACGCCGUAAACGAUGUCGAUUUGGAGGUUGUGCCCUUGAGGCGUGGCUUCCGGAGCUAACGCGUUAAAUCGACCGCCUGGGGAGUACGGCCGCAAGGUUAAAACUCAAAUGAAUUGACGGGGGCCCGCACAAGCGGUGGAGCAUGUGGUUUAAUUCGAUGCAACGCGAAGAACCUUACCUGGUCUUGACAUCCACAGAACUUUCCAGAGAUGGAUUGGUGCCUUCGGGAACUGUGAGACAGGUGCUGCAUGGCUGUCGUCAGCUCGUGUUGUGAAAUGUUGGGUUAAGUCCCGCAACGAGCGCAACCCUUAUCCUUUGUUGCCAGCGGUCCGGCCGGGAACUCAAAGGAGACUGCCAGUGAUAAACUGGAGGAAGGUGGGGAUGACGUCAAGUCAUCAUGGCCCUUACGACCAGGGCUACACACGUGCUACAAUGGCAUAUACAAAGAGAAGCGACCUCGCGAGAGCAAGCGGACCUCAUAAAGUAUGUCGUAGUCCGGAUUGGAGUCUGCAACUCGACUCCAUGAAGUCGGAAUCGCUAGUAAUCGUAGAUCAGAAUGCUACGGUGAAUACGUUCCCGGGCCUUGUACACACCGCCCGUCACACCAUGGGAGUGGGUUGCAAAAGAAGUAGGUAGCUUAACCUUCGGGAGGGCGCUUACCACUUUGUGAUUCAUGACUGGGGUGAAGUCGUAACAAGGUAACCGUAGGGGAACCUGCGGUUGGAUCACCUCCUUACCUUAAAGAA